CAGCCCAGAGCCUGAAUCAGUGUGUGUGUUAGUGGAAGCGUCUGGAAAGGCGCGCGAUACAGGGUGACAGCCCCGUACACAAAAAUGCACAUGCUGUGAGCUCGAUGAGUAGGGCGGGACACGUGGUAUCCUGUCUGAAUAUGGGGGGACCAUCCUCCAAGGCUAAAUACUCCUGACUGACCGAUAGUGAACCAGUACCGUGAGGGAAAGGCGAAAAGAACCCCGGCGAGGGGAGUGAAAAAGAACCUGAAACCGUGUACGUACAAGCAGUGGGAGCACGCUUAGGCGUGUGACUGCGUACCUUUUGUAUAAUGGGUCAGCGACUUAUAUUCUGUAGCAAGGUUAACCGAAUAGGGGAGCCGAAGGGAAACCGAGUCUUAACUGGGCGUUAAGUUGCAGGGUAUAGACCCGAAACCCGGUGAUCUAGCCAUGGGCAGGUUGAAGGUUGGGUAACACUAACUGGAGGACCGAACCGACUAAUGUUGAAAAAUUAGCGGAUGACUUGUGGCUGGGGGUGAAAGGCCAAUCAAACCGGGAGAUAGCUGGUUCUCCCCGAAAGCU
rnacentral:rRNA from 1 species